GACGUAGGGCGCGAGCGUUGUCCGGAUUUAUUGGGCGUAAAGAGCUCGUAGGCGGUGUGUCGCGUCGGCCGUGAAAACCUGCAGCUUAACUGUGGGCUUGCGGUCGAUACGGGCAUCACUGGAGUUCGGCAGGGGAGACUGGAAUUCCUGGUGUAGCGGUGAAAUGCGCAGAUAUCAGGAGGAACACCGAUGGCGAAGGCAGGGUCUCUGGGCCGAUACUGACGCUGAGGAGCGAAAGCGUGGGGAGCGAACAGG
rnacentral:rRNA from 1 species